GUUGAUAAGGUUAAGUGAAUAAGGGCGCACGGUGGAUGCCUUGGCACUAGGAGCCGAUGAAGGACGGGACUAACACCGAUAUGCUUUGGGGAGCUGUACGUAAGCUAUGAUCCAGAGAUUUCCGAAUGGGGAAACCCAACAUCUUUUAUAGGAUGUUACGUUUGCGUGAAUACAUAGCGCAUUCGAGGUAGACGCAGAGAACUGAAACAUCUAAGUACCUGCAGGAAGAGAAAGAAAAUUCGAUUCCCUGAGUAGCGGCGAGCGAAACGGGAAAAGCCCAAACCAAUGAGCUUGCUCAUUGGGGUUGUAGGACUCCAAUAUGGUAGUUCUUUCAGAUAAUCGAAUGACUUGGAAAAGUCAGUCAAAGAGGGUAAAAACCCCGUAGAUGAAAUUUGGAAGGCACCUAGGAGGAUCCUGAGUACGGCGGAACACGAGGAAUUCCGUCGGAAUCCGGGAGGACCAUCUCCCAAGGCUAAAUACUCCCUAGUGACCGAUAGUGAACCAGUACCGUGAGGGAAAGGUGAAAAGCACCCCGGAAGGGGAGUGAAAUAGAACCUGAAACCGUGUGCCUACAACAAGUCAAAGCCCGUUAAUGGGUGAUGGCGUGCCUUUUGUAGAAUGAACCGGCGAGUUACGAUUGCAUGCGAGGUUAAGUCGAAGAGACGGAGCCGCAGCGAAAGCGAGUCUGAAUAGGGCGUUUGAGUAUGUAGUCGUAGACCCGAAACCAUGUGAUCUACCCAUGUCCAGGUUGAAGGUGCGGUAAAACGCACUGGAGGACCGAACCCACGUACGUUGAAAAGUGCGGGGAUGAGGUGUGGGUAGCGGAGAAAUUCCAAACGAACUUGGAGAUAGCUGGUUCUCUCCGAAAUAGCUUUAGGGCUAGCCUCGGAUUUGAGAAUGAUGGAGGUAGAGCACUGUUUGGACUAGGGGCCCAUCUCGGGUUACCGAAUUCAGAUAAACUCCGAAUGCCAUUCAUUCAUAUCCGGGAGUCAGACUGUGAGUGAUAAGAUCCAUAGUCGAAAGGGAAACAGCCCAGACCACCAGCUAAGGUCCCAAAAUAUAUGUUAAGUGGAAAAGGAUGUGGGGUUGCACAGACAACUAGGAUGUUGGCUCAGAAGCAGCCACCAUUUAAAG
rnacentral:rRNA from 1 species